rnacentral:rRNA from 1 species
AGCAGUCGCCACGGUAAUACGAAGGGUGCAAGCGUUACUCGGAAUUACUGGGCGUAAAGCGUGUGUAGGUGGUUGUUUAAGUCUGUCGUAAAAGCCCUGGGCUCAACCUGGGAAUUGCGAUGGAUACUGGGCGACUAGAGUGCGGUAGAGGAUAGUGGAAUUUCCGGUGUAGCAGUGAAAUGCGUAGAGAUCGGAAGGAACAUCUGUGGCGAAGGCGACUAUCUGGGCCAACACUGACACUGAGACACGAAAGCGUGGGGAGCAAACAGGAUUAGAUACCCCUGUAGUCCCUGUCUCUUAUAC